rnacentral:misc_RNA from 1 species
UGCUGCUUAUCUAGCCAACAAGAACCACAAUCAGGCCUCUGAACCACCUCGUUUUUAAUAAUUCAAGCAUUAAUCCUGCAACGGCUACUGCUUAUCUAGUGAACAAGAACUUCAAUCAGGCCUCUCAACCACCUGAUUUUAGUACUUCAUUCAUCAAUACUGGAUUUGGGGUGCUUUCUGGCAAUUCGAUGGGCAUUGCAAACAAUCCUCAGAUCAACUACACGAAUAUGGAUCAUCAAUCUCAAGGUCCUGUGAGAUUACAUGACCCCGGAGUUUUAAUAGGUCUCAUUAUCUAAGCAAUGUGGAGGCAAGAUCAGUGCAGAUGGA